rnacentral:rRNA from 1 species
AUGGAUGUUAAGACUGCUUUCCUAAAUGGAGAGCUGGACGAGGAAAUUUAUAUGGAACAACCAGAUGGGUUUGUACUAGAUGGUCAGGAAAGAAAAGUGUGCAAGUUGCUGAAGUCUUUGUAUGGACUCAAGCAAGCACCCAAACGGUGGCAUAAGAAGUUUGAAAGAACUUUAACAGCUGCAGGCUUUGUUGUAAACGAAGCUGACAAAUGUGUGUACUAUCACCAUGGUGGGGGCGAGGGAGUUGUCCUUUGCUUGUAUGUUGACGACAUACUGAUUUUCGGAACAAAUCUGAAUGUCAUUAAGGAGGUCAAGGACUUUCUAUCUCGCUGUUUUGAGAUGAAGGAUUUAGGAGUGGCUGAUGUCAUUCUGAACAUCAAGUUGUUGAGAGACGGUGAUGGUGGGAUUACAUUGCUUCAAUCUCACUAUGUGGAAAAGAUCUUGAGUCGCUUUGGCUAUAGUGACUGCAAGUCCUCUCCAACACCAUAUGAUGCGAGUGUGUUACUUCGAAAGAAUCAAAGAAUUUCUAGAGAUCAAUUGAAAUAUUCUCAGAUUAUUGGCUCGCUUAUGUACUUAGCCAGUGCUACAAGACCUGACAUCUCUUUUGCUGUUAGCAAACUGAGUCAGUUUGUCUCAAAACCAGGAGAUGUGCAUUGGAAAGCUCUAGAGAGAGUUUUGCGUUAUUUGAAAGGCACUGCAAAUUAUGGAAUUCACUACACCGGGCACCCAAAGGUGCUUGAAGGGUAUAGUGACUCAAACUGGAUCUCAGAUGCUGAUGAGAUAAAGGCCACGAGUGGUUAUGUAUUCACUCAUGGAGGUGGCACUGUUUCUUGGAAGUCUUGCAAGCAGACCAUCUUAACGAGGUCAACAAUGGAAGCAGAACUCACAACACUAGAUACAGCUACGGUCGAAGUAGAUUGGCUUCGCCGGCUCUUGAAUGACUUGCCGGUUGUUGAGAAACCUGUACCGGGUAUCCUUAUGGACUGCGACAAUCAAACUGUGAUCACAAAAGUGAGCAGCUCAAAGGAAAACAUGAAGUCAUCAAGACACGUUCAGAGAAGGUUGAAGUUUGUCAGGAAAAUGAGAAACUCUGGAGUUAUUGCAUUGGAUUAUAUCCAAACGUCUAAAAAUCUGGCAGAUCCUUUUACUAAGGGUCUAUCACGCAAUGUGAUAGAUAAUGCAUCGAGGGAGAUGGGUAUGAGACCCACA